GAUGAACGCUGGCGGCGUGCCUAAUACAUGCAAGUCGAGCGAACGGACGAGAAUCUUGCUUCUCUGAUGUUAGCGGCGGACGGGUGAGUAACACGUGUAUAACCUACCUAUAAGACUGGGAUAACUUCGGGAAACCGGAUCUAAUACCGGAUAAUAUUUUGAACCGCAUGGGUCAAAAGUGAAAGACGGUCUUGCUGUCACUUAUAGAUGGAUCCGCGCUGCAUUAGCUAGUUGGUAAGGUAACGGCUUACCAAGGCAACGAUGCAUAGCCGAGCUGAGAGGGUGAUCGGCCACACUGGAACUGAGACACGGUCCAGACUCCUACGGGAGGCAGCAGUAGGGAAUCUUACGCAAUGGGCGAAAGCCUGACGGAGCAACGCCGCGUGAGUGAUGAAGGUCUUCGGAUCGUAAAACUCUGUUAUUAGGGAAGAACAUAUGUGUAAGUAACUGUGCACAUCUUGACGGUACCUAAUCAGAAAGCCACGGCUAACUACGUG
rnacentral:rRNA from 1 species